AAGAGCUGGGCCCAGACGGCCUUCCUUUCUCUCGACUUCCAAAAGAGUCCCAGCUGGUCUCCAGUCCCUGAGGUACAGCUUGGGACCACUUCCCCGAGAAUUGCAGCAGCAUUUUUCUACGCCACAGGACAAUGGCACUUCUCAGGAAGACCGGCAGCACCAUCUUCCACAUCAACAUAAUGCAGGGACUUUACAGUGUCCCCCUGCAUUAGCUCACCCUCAGGAUCCUAGAAGAGGGGCCAGCCCCGUUUGACGGCUGAGCUGACAAAAGCAGAGGGAUGUUAAGUGGCUCCUAUCUUACCUUGGGGUUGCCCCAAACCCUGCCAUUGAGCCCUGCACUCUAAGCGUCCCCUACCUUCUUCUCCACAUACGAGGUCACAUCUAAACCAUCAAGGACCCCACCACAAUGGGGUGAAGAGAUUAAAGGCACCCAGUCUUAAACGCACCUCUAUCAGACCGCUCUAAACCUUCAUGCCACUGAGCCUCAGCCCUGCCACAUGAAAAUGGAAGCUCGGUGCCUCUGACAGAAGCAGGUCCUUCACAAGAAACAUCCCACCACGUCUGCAGCCCCUGCUGGGCCAGUUUCUGGGGCCACAGACCUCAAGCUGGAAGGCUGUCAAGCUUCCAUCUUGAUACCCACCAAGAGAACAGAGAAGGGAUGGUGACCACUUUACCACCGAGCAGGCGCCCGCCCGUGAAGCACAGCAGCCCAGGCCUCCCUCCCAGGCAAGUAUGGGAGACUUUCCCUGCGACGCCUCCAGCCCCUUCAGGCCAGGAGGGCCUCACCCGCAGAGCCGCCACGCCUAGCGCCACCCUCCCCAGCACCUAGCUUGGCUACCUGGAACUCCGCGGACCUCUCCCAGGCCCAGCCCGUGAAAGCUAAGACACUUGGAAAAAGGAAAACAAGUUGGCCAAAGCCCUGGGUCAUCCUUAUCUUAGUUCCCCCUAAACCGCCACUAGGACCCCAGGGCCUCAGAGUCUGGAAAGUCCCUGCUGGGAUACAGGAGUCAGUCACCAAGCUAGCUAGUUAAAACCGGAGGGGCUGGGGUGGGGGAUGCCUUCACUCCAUCCAACCGCAGAGCAGUGAGGGCAGAGAACGAGCUCUUUCCGCGGGAAGGGGAAGAGUGUCCAGUCGGUGUGAGAUCAGGAGGAGUCCGGUGCCGCCCUUAAGCUACAUGGAGAAGGGUGCCCAGUACCCAGACUGGUGCGGGACACGAAACAGUGCCCAAGCCAGCUCCACCGCCCACACCAACUCCAGGGGACCCGGCCCCACCCGUCAGGUGUCCCUACUCGAUCACGGUGGCCUGCCGACGCCAGUGU